rnacentral:rRNA from 1 species
CCCUUAGAUGUUCUGGGCUGCACGCGCGCUACACUGAUGCGCUCAACGAGUUUAUAACCUUGGCCGAGAGGCCUGGGCAAUCUUGUUAACGUGCAUCGUGAUAGGGAUAGAUUAUUGAAAUUAUUAAUCUUGAACGAGGAAUUCCUAGUAAACGCAGAUCAUCAAUCUGCAUUGAUUACGUCCCUGCCCUUUGUACACACCGCCCGUCGCACCUACCGAUUGGAUGGUCCGGUGAAGCCUCGGGAUUGUGGUUCUUGCCGCUUUAUUGUGGCGUGACCGCGAGAACUUGUCUAAACCUUAUCAUCUAGAGGAAGGUGAAGUCGUAACA